CCUACGGGUGGCAGCAGUGGGGAAUUUUGGACAAUGGGGGCAACCCUGAUCCAGCCAUGCCGCGUGUAUGAAGAAGGCCUUCGGGUUGUAAAGUACUUUUGUUAGGGAAGAAAAGGGAAGUGUUAAUACCACUUUUUGCUGACGGUACCUAAAGAAUAAGCACCGGCUAACUACGUGCCAGCAGCCGCGGUAAUACGUAGGGUGCGAGCGUUAAUCGGAAUUACUGGGCGUAAAGCGAGCGCAGACGGUUACUUAAGCAGGAUGUGAAAUCCCCGGGCUUAACCUGGGAACUGCGUUCUGAACUGGGUAGCUAGAGUAUGUCAGAGGGGGGUAGAAUUCCACGUGUAGCAGUGAAAUGCGUAGAGAUGUGGAGGAAUACCGAUGGCGAAGGCAGCCCCCUGGGAUAAUACUGACGUUCAUGCUCGAAAGCGUGGGUAGCAAACAGGAUUAGAUACCCCAGUAGUC
rnacentral:rRNA from 1 species